UCAGACCAAAAAAAAACACAUAGAUCGGAAUCUAAAAAUAGGAAACUGAAGGACCGACAUCUGAAAAAGGAAAGAAGAAACAGGACAGAAAAUGAGUCCACCAUAAACAGUGGACAGAGAGAGAGAGAGAGAGAGAUGAAGCAGGCGGAGCUCACAGGGCUGCUCUGCGUGAUAUGGGCGGUGACUCUCCUCUAUGGUGAGAUGGUGGCCUUCUGGAGGCCCUCUCUCGGGUCUUGUUCAUGGCCUCAUCAGAGCAACAACGCUUCUUCUUCCAUGGCUGACCGCGAUUAUGUCAAAGUGGCCGUCCUCACAGACCCACAGCUCAUGGACAGAACCUCGCUUCCUCUUCCCCCAAAAUCACUUGCUCUCGAAUUGGCUCAGUUCUUCGCCGACUUGUUCAUGCGCAGAGCCUUUCAUCAAUCUGUGCUUCCUCUGCAGCCCGAUGUUAUUUUCUUUUUAGGUGAUUAUUUCGAUGGCGGUCCUUAUCUUUCGGAUGAAGAGUGGAAGGAAUCUUUAAGUCGUCUCAAACAUAUUUUUUCCCUGAGUGCGCAUGAAAGAUAUUCAAAUAUCCCAGUUUACUACCUUCCUGGAAACCAUGACAUUGGCUAUGGAAUUCUCCACUCUCGUAGGGCAGAGGCAAUCAAACGAUAUGAAAAGGAAUUUGGUAGCAGAAACUAUCGAUUUGCAGUUGGAAAAGUGGAGUUUAUUGCCAUUGACGCUCAAACUAUUGAUGGAAAUCCUCAAGGAAUUCUGACUUCCUCUACUCAUGAUUUUAUCAAGAAUGUCUCCAUGGAUGUUCAAGCAUAUCCAAGGGUUUUGUUGACCCAUAUUCCAUUGUACCGACAAGAUUGGACAGACUGUGGCCCCAAUCGUAAUUCAGAAAUCGUCAACCAGCGGAUUCUGCGCUCUGCUGAUGGUCAAGAAGUAGUGUAUCAGAAUUACAUUACAGAGGAAUCAUCAAAAUACUUAUUGGAUUCAAUUCAGCCGGUACUUGUUUUAUCUGGUCAUGAUCAUGAUCAGUGCCAUGUGAUCCAUGAGUCAAAAUAUGGGCCUGUAGGGGAGUACACUGUAGGGACAGUAAGUUGGCAGCAGGGAAACUUGUAUCCGUCUUUCAUGUUAGUGUCUACCAGUAAUUAUGUACCUUCAACUGCAUCCAAUGCUGAAGAGGCAAUCUUAACUCAGCCGUGCUUUCUUCCUAUGCAAACACACAUUUACAUAUGGUACCUCUCUCUAUUUGCUUUGACCCUCCUUGCCCUCCUGCUUUGGCCAUCCAGUGGUGUUAGUGUUGGGCAUAAUUUUAGUGAUUUAAUGGGGCUUGGAAAACAACUGAUAAGUAGCAUCAGAAGUAGAACAAAAGAGAAAAAUGAAGAUCUAAAUUGUGAGUAUGAGAUGAUUUGGGAUGCAGAAGGAUCAAUGCAUCUUGUCAAGAAAGCCUUGAGCACUCCUAGUGCACGUACAAGCGAGAAAAAUUUAGUAGAAAGCAGAGGCACUGCUGUGAUGCGGCCCACUGCUAGAAAGAAUAGUUCCCAGGAGAUAGAGGUCACUGUGAAUGCAGACACCGACACCGAUGCUAUGGCAAAAUUACUGCCUAGAGCAAGCAGAUCAUGGACAAAGAGAGUGAUCAAAAGAUUGGUGCGGACAUUUAGAAUGGUCAUAAUCAUCGCUGCUGUAAAUGUACCUCUCUAUGUGAUGUUACUUUUCAAGGACUGGAUUGACAAAUGACAUCCAAUUUGCACAUUCAGUGGGCUCUGCAUAAUACAAAAAAGGAAUACCAUGCAUGUCAAAGUAUCGCUCCCAUCUGGAAGUUAAUCAGCAUAUCUAAUUGUAUCUUAUGGCGAGUGGGGUCACAAGCAUGGAAUGAAUGUGGAACUUGCUGUUUCUAGUGGAUUUUCAUUCCUUGUGUGUUAAGAGUGGGGUGCAAGAAUGGAUGUAGAACUUACUGCUUAUGGUAGUGGAUUUCAUACCUUGUGUUUAGAGUCACAGAAUCUCUCCUAAUGCAGACAAUUACAAAGUUGUAAUUGAGAGUGUUGAGUCAACUUAUCUAAUUAAGGUCACAUUUUAAUUUUAAACACAACCAUUGCUCAACCCACAAUUACAAAUUCUUAUCUUUUCUGGCCAAUGCAUCAUUUCAAGCUUGGCAACUAGAAAUUAUUGCAUACUACAUAGCAAGUGGUCUAUCAGCAGCAUCCCCUGCAAACCCAUGAUAUUACAAGCUUUAUA